UUUGGUUUAUAUGGUAAGAUAAGUGAAAAUCUUGAUUGGCAUCUGGAUUUGCUACUUCCCUUGGUUUUCCUGGAGUUUAUCCUCUUUCUUGAUUUCUGCUCCAUCUUGCUUGAGCUACUAAUGGUUGCUUCUCCUACUACUCCUCUGACCUCUCAUUCACUCACCCUAGCCUCUCCUGGCUGUACACACAAGGCUGCUACGGCUGUGGUGAAGCAUGGCUGCUGCUAUUGCUCUACUGCGGCAGGUGCUUGAGGUGGUUUUCCAACCGAUGCAACCGAGGCUGGGGUUCACUGAAUAGCUUGGUUGAUGUAUAUGUGAAUUUGGUGAAGACUAGGUGACUCACCUACUUUAGUUUU